UAAACACGUAAUGUGUGUUGCUAAUGUUGGGCCAUGUAAUAUGUAAUACAUUUACGUUUUAAUGAAUAGUCUAACGAUUUAUAGUCGUUGUACUCUAUUGUUAUAAUAUUUCUUUUUGACUGAAUACAUGUUUGUUUUAUUUGUCUAUAUCCUAGAUUCGCAGCUGUACACAUCCUUCUACACUGUAUGCAAACAUGCAACAUCAUAACACACAGUACAAGGAGUCAGACUGGCAUAUGAGGAGCAAAGGAACCCAGGCAGUAGCAUCGUUUCACAAUGUUUCCAUCACCAUCAUCAGUGGAUGCCUUUCCCGUCCGUACCCUGAGAUUUCAGAUUUGCAGCAAAAAAAAUUGACUUUCCCAUUUAUUGGAAUGCUGUGCAGGUUGUACCUUGCAGCCAUCCAUUACAAUGUCACCAAGCCGUAACAAAAGCAGGAGAGGGAAAGUACAAGGCUAUGUUCCCAAAACACACAAGUGACAUACCUUAUGUGGAUGAUGUGAUCAGGCUUGUGUUUGAUGAGGUAUUUGAAGAUAAGCUGAAGGAAACCCCGAUUCCAAUGGACCUGGCAUCACAGUUUGAGAGACCUUCAAAGGAGGACU